UGCGCAGGCGGCUUCGUAUGUCGGAUGUGAAAUCUUACCUUUCAUGGGUGAAACUGCAUUCGAAACUGCGGGGCUAGAGUACGGGAGAGGGGAGCGGAAUUCUUGGUGUAGCGGUGAAAUGCGUAGAUAUCAAGAGGAACACCGGUGGCGAAGGCGGCUCUCUGGAACGAUACUGACGCUGAGGCAUGAAAGCUGGGGGAGCAAACA
rnacentral:rRNA from 1 species